rnacentral:rRNA from 1 species
UACGUAGGGGGCAAGCGUUGUCCGGAUUUAUUGGGCGUAAAGAGCGUGUAGGCGGCCAGACAGGUCAGCUGUGAAAACUCGGGGCUCAACCUCGAGACGUCGGUUGAAACCGUCUGGCUAGAGUCCGGAAGAGGAGAGUGGAAUUCCCGGUGUAGCGGUGAAAUGCGCAGAUAUCGGGAAGAACACCCGUGGCGAAGGCGGCUCUCUGGGACGGUACUGACGCUGAGACGCGAAAGCGUGGGGAGCGAACAGG